rnacentral:sRNA from 1 species
AGCGGGCCCCGUUCCUAGGGCCACUCCCCCCUGAGCCUCCAGCAGAGGAGCCUCUGUCCAGUCCCCCAGGCCCCAAUAGCUCCCCACGGCUGCCCACGGCCUGGGCCACCAUGAAGCAGCGGGAGGAUCCUGAGGUGAGAGGGUGCUACAAGGGGGUGGGGAGACGGGCGGCUACAGCUGUCAUAUCAGCCCUGACUCCUUCCCUCCCUCCCAGAGGUCGUCCUGCCACGGGCUCCCCCCAACUCCCAAGGUGCAUAUGGGCGCCUGCUUCUCCAAGGUCUUCAAUGGCUGCCCCCUGCGGAUCCACGCUGCUGUCACCUGGAUUCACCCUGUUACUCGGGACCAGUUCCUGGUGGUAGGGGCUGAGGAAGGCAUCUACACACUCAACCUGCAUGAACUGCAUGAGGAUACGCUGGAGAAGGUGAGGCCCGGCUGGCUGUGGGGGGCAGAGGCCUUGGGGGGCCUGGGGUGCUGACCACCUGUCCCUCUGUGGCCUCCAGCUGAUUUCACAUCGCUGCUCCUGGCUCUACUGCGUGAACAACGUGCUGCUGUCACUCUCAGGGAAAUCCACGCACAUCUGGGCCCAUGACCUCCCAGGCCUGUUUGAGCAGCGGAGGCUACAGCAACAGGUUCCCCUCUCCAUCCCCACCAACCGCCUCACCCAGCGCAUCAUCCCCAGGCGCUUUGCUCUGUCCACCAAGAUUCCUGACACCAAAGGCUGCUUGCAGUGUCGUGUGGGUAAGAAAUGGGCUGGGCGGGGUGGGGCGGGGCCUGGUGGGGGGCAGCGCAGGCCCAGCCCAGUGCCCACUGCCCUGCUCCCCUGCCAGUGCGGAACCCCUACACGGGUGCCACCUUCCUGCUGGCUGCCCUGCCCACCAGCCUGCUCCUGCUGCAGUGGUACGAGCCGCUGCAGAAGUUCCUGCUGCUGAAGGUGAGGGGCGGUGGGGGGAGGCCCAGGGCACCCUCAGAGCUCUGGGGGGAGAAAUGGAGACCUGAGCAUCCCUGCUGCCCCCUAGAACUUCUCCAGCCCUCUGCCCAGCCCAGCUGGGAUGCUGGAGCCGCUGGUGCUGGAUGGGAAGGAGCUGCCGCAGGUGUGUGUGGGGGCUGAGGGGCCUGAGGGGCCCGGCUGCCGCGUCCUGUUCCAUGUCCUGCCCCUGGAGGCUGGCCUGACGCCCGACAUCCUCAUCCCACCUGAGGGGAUCCCAGGCUCGGCCCAGCAGGUGAUCCAGGUGGACAGGGACACAAUCCUAGUCAGCUUUGAACGCUGUGUGAGGAUUGUCAACAUGCAGGGCGAGCCCACGGCCACACUGGCACCUGAGUUGACCUUUGAUUUCCCCAUCGAGACUGUGGUGUGCCUGCAGGACAGCGUGCUGGCCUUCUGGAGCCAUGGGAUGCAAGGCCGAAGCCUGGAUACCAACGAGGUGACCCAGGAGAUCACAGAUGAAACAAGGAUCUUCCGAGUGCUUGGGGCCCACAGAGACAUCAUCCUGGAGAGCAUUCCCACUGACAACCCAGAGGCACACAGCAACCUCUACAUCCUCACGGGCCACCAGAGCACCUACUAAGAGUGGUGGGCCUGUCCAGGGGCUCCCCACCCCACCCCAUGCCUUAGCUGCAGGCCCUUUUGGGCAAAGGGGCCCAUCCUAGACCAGAGGAGCCCAGGCCCUGGCCCUGCUGGGGCUGAAGGUCAGAAGUAAUCCUGAGAAAUGUUUCAGGCCUGGGGAGGGAGGGGAGCCCCCCACGCCUCUGCAAUAAUUGGACCAGGGGGAGCUGCAGUCACUCCCCCAUCCCCGAGGCAGCCCAGUCCCUAGUGCCCAAGGCAGGGACCCUGGGCCUGGGCCAUCCAUUCCAUUUUGUUCCACAUUUCCUUUCUACUCUUUCUGCCAAGAGCCUGCCCCUGCAUUUGUCCUGGGAAACACGGUAUUUAAGAGAAAACUAUAUUGGUAUUAAAGCUGGUUUGUUUUA